rnacentral:lncRNA from 1 species
UCGCCUCUAACAUUUUCACACGAUGUUUAAAUGUCGUCUUUAGUUGAAUUAAUCUACGCAUAUAUGUUGUUGUAAGACAUUUUUCUCUCUCACUCGCAGUUAUCAGGCGACACAAAGAGAUGUGUCGCCUCACGGCAAAAAAAAGAUGUGUCGCCUUCUAGCAUGUCGACGUUUAUACAAUCAGGCGACAUAUAUACCCUGUCGCCUUAUCUUUUAUCAGGCGACACAUAAUGAAAAAAAGUCUUCUGUCGCCUGAUGUUUUUAUAGGCGACACAACAUUUGUGUCGCCUGAUAGUUUAAACGUCGACAUGCUAGAAGGCGACACAUACGAUUUGCAUCAGGCGACACAACAGUUGUGUCGCCUGAUGCAAGAAUUGGCAUAGUGUAAGCUUUAAAAAUUCCCAAACCUAUCCAAAACUCCUCCAAAAAUUCUAAAAUUUACAUCAAUAACUCCCAUUAAUAUUCCACAUUUAAAACCAUAAAAAUCUCCCAACCAGCGGCGGCCGGAGGCCUACUUCGACGACCUCCAAUGCCUGAGAAAUUUUGACAGCAUCUUCCUCUCAACCCCCUCUACAACUUUCUUAACAAGCACAAACAUCAAUUCCAAGCCUAACUAGGGUAAUCGAACCAAAACGUCCUAAAAACCCUAGAAAAUUCAGCUCCACACAUCUCCUUACCUAGCUCAAGAGAGGGUGAGACCUUUGGAGGGGUUGCUGCACGGGAGGAGGGCUUCAAAACGAGCCAAAGAUCGCUGGCUUUGGCGGCCAGAGGAGGGAGUUCCGGCGACAACACAGUCGGCCCUUCGGGAUGAGUUUCCUCCCGUUUGACGGCGCUGUGGCAGUGCUCACCGACCUAGGGUGAGAAAGGAGGAGACGCCGGUCCUAACGGGACCGGUGCGGUAGCCUUGCUCGGCCGGACGGCGGCGGCGGGCGCUGGUCUUCCCGCGAAGGGAGAGAGAGCUUGGGAUGUAGAACCGGGAAAAGAGAGAGAGAUAGUUUGGGCCUCCCCAAACCGGUCCAACACCAAUAUAACCACAACCAAAAAAAAAAAAAAAAAACCCGAACUCCCAAAAAUUUACACCGUAAAAUAAUACCCUAAUAAAAAUUACAUUUUACUAGCUAAAAUUUACCAUUUUUACCGUCGUCAUAAAUUUCUCCUACGAAUAGUUCUCCGUAAAUAACUGUCCCCCAAACCCCUCUAGGGACCAGUUAAACUAUAACCUCAAUGAUGGAGACGGUAAAAUUCUUAUUAUAACCAAGCUAGUAAAUAAGGUAAAAAUUUAAGGGUCGGGAUGUGAUAAUUCUCUCCUCCUUAUAAAAAUUUCGUCCUCGAAAUUUACAUACAUGUCAUUCGAAGAGAUAGGGAUACUGCUACAUCAUUUGCUCCUCUGAUUCCCAAGUAGCUUCUUCUACUUGAUGACUUCUCAAAAGCACCUUGACAAGUGGGAUUGUUUUGUUCCUAACCACUUGCUCCUUUCGGUCGAGAAUCUGAACCGGUUCCUCUUCAUAGGUCAAAUCUUUCGUCAAACUGAUCGGCUGCUCUUGUAGCACAUGAGAGGGAUCAGCAAUAUACUUGAGAAGCAUGGAUACAUGAAACACAUUAUGUAUCCUGGAUAACUCUGGAGGCAACAACAGCCGAUAAGCAAGUGAGCCAACUCGCUCUAUAAUUUCAUAAGGGCCAAUAUACCUCGGACUAAGCUUCCCACGUUUACCAAAACGCACGACCCCUUUCUAAGGAGAUAGUUUCAAGAACAGCCAAUCACCCACUUGAAACUUAAGGUCUUUCCUACGGACAUCUGCAUAACUCUUCUGCCUACUUUGAACGGCCUUGAGUCUAUCUCUGACCACUUUAAUCUUCUCAUUCGUAUCAUGGAUCAACUCUAGGCCACAAAGCUCUUUUUCCCCUACUUCAUUCCAACACAAAGGGCGUAUGACACUGCUUCCCAUAAAGUGCCUCAAAGGGAGCCAUACCAAUGCUAGAAUGAUAGUUAUUAUUAUAAGCAAAUUCCAUAAAAGAUAGGUUUUUAUCCUAACUCCCUCUGAACUGCAAGGCACAAUCCCUCAACAUAUCCUCCAAAGUCUGAAUAGUCCUCUCGGACCGCCCAUCAGUCUGAGGAUGAAAAGUAGUGCUGAAGUGUAAUCGGGUGCCUAAAGCUGCCUAAAGAGCUCCCCAAAAUUUAGAAGCAAAUCUAGGAUCCCGAUCCGACACUAUUGAUUCAGGUACACCAUGAAGCCUCACAAUUUCAUUCACAUAAAGCUCCGCCAAUUUAUCCAAUUUAUACUUCUUUCCCACUAGCAAGAAAUGUGCAGACUUGGUGAGUCUAUCCACAAUCACCCAAAUACCAUCAUGCCCUUCACGGGUACGAGGUAAAGUGAAAACAAAAUCCAUGGUGAUGUUGUCCCACUUCCACACUGGAACAGGCAACGACUCAAGCAAUCUAGAAGGCUUCUGCCUUUCAGCCUUUACUUGUUGACAAAUCAGACAUCUACUCACAAAAGCUGCAAUUUCCCUCUUCAUGUUUGGCCACCAAUAAUAAUCUUUUAAAAUCCGAUACAUUUUUGUGCUACCCGGAUGAGCAGCAUAAGCAGAAUUAUGAGCUUCCUCCAUAAUCUCACUCUUCAGCUCUUCAUUUCUUUUUGGAACACAAAGCCGAUUCUUAAACAAUAAAGUCCCAUCCCUUCUAACUGAGAAAUGAUCGGCGGCGGCUCCGUUCAAAGCUCUUUCUAUCAAUCGAAUUAUGGAAUGAUCAUUACACUGUGCUUCCCGCACUCUAUCAACCAAAACUGGCCUCACAUGAAAACUAGCUACUAAGGCACCCACUUCAUCCACCGAUAAAUCUACCCCUGAAGCUCGCAACUCAAAAAGAAGAUGAACUCGAACCGUCCUCAAGUGAGACAAAGAUAUGGAGGGAUUUCGACUAAGAGCAUCCGUUACCAAGUUAGGUUUUCCAGGAUGGUAUUCAAUAGUGCAAUCAUAAUCAUUGAUCAACUCCAUUCACCUUCUCUGUCUCAAGUUUAGCUCUCUUUGAGUGAACACAUACCGAAGGCUCUUGUGAUAGGUAAAAAUCUGACACUUGGCCCCAUAAAGGUAGUGUCUCCACAACUUGAGAGAAAAAAUUACCGUUGCAAGCUCUAGAUCAUGAGUGGGAUAAUUCCCUUCAUGCAGCUUUAAUUGCCUAGAAGGGUAGGCAAUAACUCGAUCAUGCUGCAUCAAUACCCUACCUAGACCACGUCUAGAAGCAUCACAAUAAACCAUGUACUCCCCACUAUCAUCCGGAAGUGUCAAAACAGGAGCACUAGUCAAGCGAUUCUUCAAUUCUUGAAAACUUAGCUCACACUGAUCUGACCAUUCGAACUUAACUCCCUUCUUGGUCAAUCUUGUAAGAGGAGCAUCAAUCUUUGAAAAAUCUUGCACAAAGCGCCGAUAAUAACCUGCUAAUCCCAAGAAACUACGAAUCCCCGUCACAGUGGUGGGUCUUCUCCAAUUUAACACUGCUUCCACCUUUUGGGGAUCCACACUAACUCCUUUUGCCGAAACCACAUGACCCAAGAACCCCACUUUAUCAAGCCAAAACUCACACUUGCUAAACUUAGCAUAUAACUGAGAAUUUCUCAAAGUCCGCAAUAUUAUUCUUAGAUGCUUGGCAUGCUCCUUCUCACUUCUUGAGUAAACCAAGAUGUCAUCUAUGAAUACGAUCACGAAACGAUCAAGAUAUGGACUAAACACCCUAUUCAUGAGGUCCAUGAACACCGCGGGUGCAUUAGUAAGUCCAAAUGGCAUCACCACAAAUUCAUAAUGCCCAUAGCGUGAUCGAAAAGCAGUCUUGGCUAUGUCACCCUCUUGGAUCCGUAACUGAUGAUAACCAGAUCUCAAGUCAAUCUUGGAGAAAACAGAAGCACCUCUCAACUGAUCAAAUAAAUCAUCAAUGCGCGGCAAAGGAUAUUUAUUCUUCACCGUGACUUGAUUCAAUUUCCUAUAAUCAAUGCAUAGUCUCAUGGUGCAAUCUUUCUUCUUAACAAACAACACUAGAGCACCCCAUGGAGACAUGCUAGGCCGAAUAAAACCCUUGUCUACCAACUCCUGCAAUUGAGUCUUCAAUUCCUUCAAUUCCGCUGGAGCCAUUCUGUAAGGUGCUUGAGAGAUAGGUAUAGUUCCAAGAAGUAAUUCAAUAGAGAAGUCUAUCUCCCUUUCAAGAGGCAAACCAGGCAACUCCUCAGGAAAAACAUCCGGAAACUCUUUUACAACAGGAAUAUCUUCUACUCCCAAAACCCCCAUACUUGUAUCCACAACGUGAGCUAAAUAUGCCUGACAGCCUUUAUUUAACAAUUUUCUAACAGCAACAGCAGAUAUCAGGCAACUCGAAAUGACAUCUCUUUCCCCUUAAAAUGUAACCUCAAAUCCACUUGGACUUCGAAGCACCACUACUUUUUGAAAACAAUCUACCAUAGCUUUAUAAGCUUCCAAAAAGUCCAUUCGAAAGAUCACAUCAAACUCCACUAUAUCUAAAGGAAUUAAAUCGGCCUUGAAACUAACUCCUACUAAAACUUCACAACCACUAAACACCCAAUUUAUCCUCAUCACCUCACCGGAGGGUAGAGACACAUGCCACUCGCUUGGAAGAGACGAUGAUAGCACAUUGGCAUGGAGGCCAAAUCUACUAGACAUAAAUGAAUGCGUGGCUCCAUGAUCAAUUAAAGUAAAUGCAGGCUGGCCAAAAAUUAAUAACGUACCAAUGAUGACAUCUGGAGAAGUACGACCCUCCAUGGGACGUCCACGCUGACCACCACCCUGCCGAGAGCUACCACUAGCCGAUGCACUGCCCUGGGCACCACUACUGAAGCCUCUAGCUGAAGACUGACCAACUGGUUGAGUAUGAGUAGGGGUAGGGGUGGUCCUCUGAGCCAACAAUGGACAAUCUCUCCUGAAGUGGUCCUGACCACCACACUCAAAACAUCCAGAAAACUGCUGCUGCCCAUAAGAAAAAGUCUGACUACUAGAGGACCCACCAUGGAAGCUGCCACCAGACCCAUACUGACCAGACUGUUGCCUACCCAAAUGACUCCGAGAAGGUCUCCUGAAACGUCUUAUAUUCCUGUUCCGAGCACCAAAACUCGAUCCCCCACUUCCGCCAUUGCCAGUAGAAGACCCAGACGCGGAUGAUAAAGCAGCCUUCUUGGAUGGACCCUGACUAGAGCCACUGUAAUCACGGGGCCGAGCACCAUGUAAUCUCAAUGGCCAUGGCUGCACUAACCGUAUCCAUAAAGGUCGGGUAAAUUACACUCGUCAUCUGGUCUGCAUACACACCACCAAGUGCCCCAACGAACAUCUCAAUCUUGGUCUUCUCAUCCGGAACCAGGUAUUGCAGAUGAUAGCUCUGCUCGAACUCUAUGACCCCCUUAUUAUCCCUCUUCUGAAUGUUCAGGAACUCUGACUGAAUCCUACUGCGGUGGCCAUGAUUGAAAUACUGCCCUAAGAAUAGCGUCUUAAACUGCUCCCAUGUCAUAUUCUAAGCAUCCUCAACAUUCCUGCUGGUAAGCGACCACCAGUGAUGAGCUGAAUCAUCCAGAAAAGUCACUGUCAUCUUCACUUUCUUAUCUUCUGGCAACCCAGAGCUCUCAAAAGCCUUUUCCAUCUUGUCUACCCAAUUAUAAGCAUCAAGGGGUCCCUUGGCACCCUUAAACUCCCUUGCUCCACCUUCAUAAACAUCCUUCUUCUUCACAGUCCGAGGGUUCUGAGUUCGCUCCAGCACUCCCCUCAACAUAUCUCCAAUAGAAUUUACUAGCUCCCUGACCUCAUUGCCCUCAUUGGCGUUGGUCGAACUACCCUCACGGGGUUGGCGUACGCGUUGGCGUCUAUGAGGCAUAGUACCUAAGGAAGAAGAUAUUUAGUAGUCUAUAAACAAGACUAACACAACUAUCACACAUACCCAAUAACAAAUAGCAUCCAAAGCAUAAACUGCCAAUGAAUUCGUCGCGGUCGGAUCAUCACUCUAUAGACACUACGUGCUACUUAGGUAAAUAUGAUAGUGACAAGGAGGCAGGAAAUGAAACCUAAUACUCUGAUACUAACUGUCAAGACCCACCCCAAAUUUUACCCUAAAACCUAGAGUAAGUCCCGCGGGGACCACCUCCAAGGAAAAUUUACCGAAAAAUUCGGCAUAACCUCCCUUGAAAAUGGACAACUCUAUCUUGAAAAAUUCAGAUAACACUCCUAUACCAACACAUCUAACCUCAACACCUGGAGCCACCCGCUCUCCCACAACACAUCCACCACACACAAAAAUAAUAUCAUCUUCUAAUCCAACACAUAAAUAUCCAAUUUAUAUCAUACACCAUCCUUUGGAUAUCCCCCAAAUUAAUAAACAAAGACUUAGCACACAACCGAACUAUUAUACAAAUAAUCCAAAGAUAAAGAGAUGGUUUGGGCCUCCCCAAACCGGUCCAACACCAAUAUAACCACACCAAAAAAAAAAAAA